GAGCUAUCACUGCUUCUUCACUCUUCAGUAUCACCAUGGUUUUCGGGCAGAAGGAAGCAAAGCUAUUUCUUUUCUUUUUACUGUGGAACGGUAAGGAAAGCAGCGAGGCUUUGAACGGAAGCCUGCCCGAGAGUGUCGCGUCCCUGCCACCUUGUGACAAGAUGCUCCAACUGCAAAUCCCCAAACUCGCAAGUCCUGGAGCUUUCGGCCGGAUCCGAAUUCUCCUCCCGAAUGCCCGAAGGAAAGCACAAGGUCCCCUCCGGCAGAUCCUAAGGUGUGGAUGAAGCCUCUGCCACGAUGUCAGGAGAGCGGACCCUUCCUGUGGAUGACAGCGGCAUGCCCUUUCCCUGAACCCAAGGAGCAUCGCAAACCCUGUUUUGCCAACAUGCAGGUGCUGUGUUACCAGCUGGCAGGGGCUUUCCCGUAGCUCUCUGGGCUGCCUGGCUGGCAGGGGAUGGGACCUCCUGGGUUACCACAGCAAGGCAAGGAGAAGAGUGAUCCUUACUUUCCUCCUAGGCAGAGCUCUGCAGCGUGCUUUAAACUUGACUGUUUAAGAGGGGAAAAAAUAGGUUAGCCAAGGGUUGUUUUUUUGUUUGGUUGGUUUUUUUUCCCCAGACUUAUCUGAUGCUUUUGCUUGCUUUGCCUCUUCCUGACUUCCUCGUCCUAAGAAAACAUCUGCCUUUGGCCUUCUAAGGGGAAUGUUUACAUAAUGCAUGAAAAAAUAACAAGUGAGAGCUGUAUUUUUAAAGCCUCAUCCAAAGAGACAUGUUAUCGCAGCUUCUCCAUCCUCGCUGCAUGCAGAGCUGUGGCAUCAAGCCAGCACCACUCCUCCUCCGUUUUGCCCCCAAAUCUGCCUGGAGAAGCAAGGUUACUUUGGUUUUCCAUUGUUUUGGCUUUCCUGCAGAGGUGCUCCCAGUGCAGUUACGCUUUGAUGGAAAGGGCCUUUCUCUCCUGCAGGCCAUGUAACAGUUCAUACAAGCUGCAGCAGCCUUGCUCCAGCUGGGAAGGGUUGAUUUCUUCUACUGUCCUCGCUGUCCUGGGGGAAAUAGAGCUCUUCUGUGCUGGGAGAAAGCUGUCACUUUUGUGCAAAGCUUGCACCCAAGCUUUCCAGUGGUAUUUAGAUAGCUAAACCAGCUUGCACUGAACCUAAUAGAGCUUGGCAUGCAGAGAUUUUUGCUUCUGAUGCUGUAAAGGAUGAGAAGUCAUCUGUGGGAGAGAAUGCAGUCCCUCUUGUUUGCUUUCCAGUAGCAAUUGCAUGGUACAAGAUUUCAUUGUAGUGAAACAGCCAUCAAAGCAUGAGGCCCAGAGUGCAGAAAACAACUCUGUUGGCCUUCCCCAGAUGCCUGUUGUAACAAUUCAAGUAAAGCAGUUCCCCCUACCAUUCUUUGGAGAGAUCAUUGGAGGCUCCACAGGCAGCAUCAUCAGAAAAUUACGAAGGAGAGCUGGCAAAUUCUUAUUUAUGAAGGAAGAAAUGCAGUGAUGACAAUAUUCUGGUACAGAAUUACAGAAUCGUUAAAGUUGGAAAAAAAAAAUGAUCAUCUAAUCCAACAGUCGUCACAUCUCCACCAUACCCACUAACCCAUGUCCCUCAGUAUCACACCUACACAGCUCUUGAACAUCUCCAGGGAUGGUGACUAUGAAGCAAUGAAUAUCAGGAAACAAAUAAUUAAAAUUGUUUCAUUUCAUAUUCAAGCAAAUUUGAACACUUUUUAAAUUUUAAAAAGCAGUAUUUUAAAUUAGUAUGAACAGUAAUAUUUUUCACACUGAUGAAGAAAUAGAAUUUGCCAGGGGCCACGUCAGCCCUUUUUUAUGAAGCAGAACCAUAGAAACCUAUAGCAGGAAUUUGAUAGGAUGAGCCUCUCUGCAGUAAGUGCAGACUUCCGUAUGAGACAAGUCAGGUCCUCUACAUCAGAGAUCUAACUAGGGCAGGCCAACCUAGGGCAUCACAAAUGGCAAAAUAACAACAGACACAUUGAGGACAUGCCUUGAGAA